GAUGAACGCUAGCUACAGGCUUAACACAUGCAAGUCGAGGGGCAGCGCAGUGUAGCAAUACAUGGGCGGCGACCGGCGCACGGGUGCGUAACGCGUAUCCAACCUUCCCGUUACUCAGGGAUAGCCUUCCGAAAGGGAGAUUAAUACCUGAUGGUGUUCAAAUUCCGCAUGUUAUUUGAACUAAAGAUUUAUCGGUAACGGAUGGGGAUGCGUGACAUUAGAUAGUAGGCGGGGUAACGGCCCACCUAGUCUACGAUGUCUAGGGGUUCUGAGAGGAAGGUCCCCCCACACUGGGAACUGAGACACGGUCCAGACUCCUACGGGAGGCAGCAGUGAGGAAUAUUGGUCAAUGGUCGGAAGACUGAACCAGCCAAGUAGCGUGAAGGAUGAAGGUUCUAUGGAUUGUAAACUUCUUUUAAUACGGGAAUAAAACCUCCCACGUGUGGGAGCUUGUAUGUACCGUAUGAAUAAGCAUCGGCUAACUCCGUG
rnacentral:rRNA from 1 species